GUGUGUGUGCGUGUGUGUCUGUGUGUGUGUGUGUGUGUCUGUGUGUGUGUGUGUGUGUGUGUGCGUGUGUGUGUGUGUGGGAGAUCUAUGUGUUAAGCAUGUUUGUGCUGUCCCUAUGGUUGAGUGGUGGCAGUGUUUCCUCUGCUGCCCAAACACCCCCAUAACGCCUCUUAACUCUUCUUACAGUGUUUGCCACAUCACCCCAACAAAUGCCAACACACCCCAACAACGCACCCCCACCAACGCCAACACACCCCACCAACGCACCCCACCAACGCCAACACACCCCACCAACGCCAACACACCCCCACCAACGCACCCCACCAACGCCAACACACCCCACCAACGCCAACACACACCAACAACACACCCCACCAACGCCAACACACCCCAACAACGCACCCCACCAACGCCAACACACCCCAACAACGCACCCCACCAACGCCAACACACACCAACAACGCACCCCACCAACGCCAACACACACCAACAACGCCAACGCACCCCAACACCAAUGCACCCCACCAACACCAACAACACCCACGACGCCAAUGCACCCCACCAACGCCAACGCACCACGCCAACGCACCACACCAACACACCCCACCAACGGCAAUGCACCCCACCAACACAAACGACGCCAAUGCAUCCCAACAACGCCAACACACCCCACCAAUGCCAACACACACCAACAUUCUAUGGGUGGCAGUUGUUUUCAGUCCUUGAGAUGUUCAGUCCUUGCGAUGUUCAGUCCUUGAGAUGUUCAGAAAACCAAUGUCCAGCUCCACACUGGCCAGAGAAAAGCCAGUAAAGUAAAAAAUGGGCUUCAUAAGAUGUCCAUCUCGACACCGUUCCACCCAAGAAACCCCAACAGCCACAGACUGACUGACCCAGCUAUGUGUGUGUUGCUGUGUGUUUUUGUGUGUGGGUGUGUGUUGGGGGGGGGGUGCAGGCCCUGUUCAGAGGAUCCCAGGACGGGAUUGUCUUUGUAAUCCUCACCUUGCUAGACCCUGCCAGAGUGUGAUCAGGUGAACAUGAAAUUAUUUUUAUAAAAUAAUGAAUGGCUGCAAAAACUCUUGUUUGCUUUAAAUUUGACUGUUGUCUGUAUCCAGAUGGUGAAAGGACAAAGUAUGAUUUGGAGAUCUCUGUUUAUAGAGUUUCUUUUCAGGUGUAGCUUUGGGGCAAAAUAAGCUAAAAAAAAUAAUAAAGUAUAACGACUACUGUUAA